rnacentral:lncRNA from 1 species
AGAAAUAAAUAAAAUUCAUACAAUACUCGAUAAGAUACUUCCUGGAAAGGACAUAAAAUUAAUUACAAUAAGAAGUGUUAGGAAAGAUGUAGCUGAUUAUUUAAAUGUAGAAGAAUCGUAUUUUCGUGAAGAUAAAGAAAAAAAACAUUUACUCAAAGAUAUAUUGAAAGAAAAGAUUUUGAAAUUAUAUAAACAGCAGAAUGAAAAUAACACAAAUAACAAUAAUAUUAAUGAUGAAAAAGAUGAUCAACAGAAUUAUGAACCACCAAAUGAUGGGAUAAGUAAUAAUAAAAUAAAAAGUAAAAAGUUAAAAAAAAUCUCUAAAAAAAAAAUAGUUUCAGAAGAGGAGGAAAAUGAUGAUGAAUAUCAUGAAAGUUCCGAUGAAGAACACAAUGAUAAUAAUUUAAAAAAAAAGAAAAGAAAAAUUGAUUCAGAUGAUGAAAGCGAUGAAUCAAAAAAAAAAAUAAAAAGAAGAAAGAACUCACUAGGAAAUAAUAAAGAAAAAACUGUUCACACAAGUACAAAAGAAAAAUUACGUAAACUCGUAUUAGAUUUAAAAAUUGGACCAACUAUAUUCAAAAACUUAGAUAAAGAAGACGAAGAGGAAUAUAAUAAAAAACUUAAAAAACGAAUAAUAGAAUUUUGUGAAAAGAAAAAUAUAUGUCAAGAAAUGAAUAGAUUACCAAACCCUAAUGAAAUACAUGAAUAUAAAAAGAAAAUUAAAUUAAAAGAAGAAUUAGAUGGAAUUGACCCUUCCAAUAUUUUAGAAUCAAGUACAAGAACGAGAAGGAAAACCCCUAAUGUGUACAUUCCUCAAAAAUUUGAUGAAUUUGAUGAGGAAGAAGAAGACGAUGAUGAUGGUGAUGAUGGUGAUGAUGAUGGUGAUGAUGGUGAUGAUGGUGAUGAUGGUGAUGAUGAUGGUGAUGAUGGUGGUGAUGAUGGUGAUGAUGAUGGUGAUGAUGGUGAUGAUGAUGGUGAUGAUGGUGGUGAUGAUGAAGAUGGUGGUGAAAAUGAAGAUAGUGAUGAUAAUAAUAAUAAAAAUAAAAAAAAAAAAAAACCAAAAAGUGAUAACAAAAAGAAAGGUAAAAAGGUAAUUGAAGAUGAUGAUGAUGAUGAGGAUGAGAGUGAGGACGCUAGUGCGAAUGAAGAAUAUAGCGAAACUGAAGAUGAUUAGUGAUAGAAACAAAUAAAAGAUAUACCUUUUUUUUUUUUUUUUUUUGG